UACGUAGGUGGCAAGCGUUGUCCGGAUUUAUUGGGUUUAAAGGGUGCGUAGGUGGGCAGGUAAGUCAGUGGUGAAAUCUCCGGGCUUAACCCGGAAACUGCCGUUGAUACUAUUUGUCUUGAAUAUUGUGGAGGUAAGCGGAAUAUGUCAUGUAGCGGUGAAAUGCUUAGAUAUGACAUAGAACACCAAUUGCGAAGGCAGCUUACUACACAACGAUUGACGCUGAGGCACGAAAGCGUGGGGAGUCAAACAGGA
rnacentral:rRNA from 1 species